rnacentral:lncRNA from 1 species
GCGGCGGUGGCGGAACGGCGGACAUCCUCGUCGAGGAAGCACGGUAUGGCGACCUGUGCGCCAGCCUCGUGGACGACGUGCUCGUCCCGGGGACGGACGGUCAAUGCCGUCGCGGCGGAGUCGGUGCAACGCCGGCGUCCCGCACGCGCAAGGUACGCACGCUGGGCAUGCAUUCUUCAGGUCGCGCGCAGAGUUUGCAUGUCUUGGAUCGCGGCCGUCACAGCUCAUGGGGCUUGAACUCUCAUGAAUGUACGCAGGCUUGUUACGCGGCGGCAGGGUUCGUCGCCGUCGGUUGCAUCUGCGCUUACCUGUCCUGGAGGUGCCACACGAGCAAACACUAGAUUUUUGUUCCUCUAUCUUUUGUUGAUUGGUUUUUUUUUCUGAGAAUCAUAUUUCGUUGAUUGGUUUGGAAGGGCUUGCCGCGCGAUAGAUUUUUUUUUCAUGGUAAUAUAUAUGGCAUAAAAAGGAAGAGAAAAAAGAAAAAAAAUAUCCACGCAAAUCUCAACAUAAGAUUAAUGAAAUAAGACUUAGAUGUGCAAUACUUAUGGCACGUCUAGAUGUGCUUUAGCAAAACUGAAUAUAUAUCUCAUUCAUAUCUUAAAGAUCAAAUACAAAUCAUGUAAGGACCGGCAUGACAAAUUCAAAAGGUAGCAUAACAUCUCUGAGCUUCACACCAACGGCCG